rnacentral:misc_RNA from 1 species
UUCGUCAGACGGCCUGGCGCCC